AUACGGAGGGUCCAAGCGUUAUCCGGAAUCAUUGGGUUUAAAGGGUUCGUAGGCGGGUCAAUAAGUCAGAGGUGAAAUCUUGCAGCUUAACUGUAAAAUUGCCUUUGAAACUGUUGACCUUGAAUUACUGUGAAGUGGUUAGAAUAUGUAGUGUAGCGGUGAAAUGCUUAGAGAUUACAUAGAAUACCGAUUGCGAAGGCAGAUCACUAACAGUAUAUUGACGCUGAUGAACGAAAGCGUGGGUAGCGAACGGGAUUAGAAACCCCGGUAGUCC
rnacentral:rRNA from 1 species